rnacentral:rRNA from 3 species
UUAAUGACUCUCGGCAACGGAUAUCUCGGCUCUCGCAUCGAUGAAGAACGUAGCGAAAUGCGAUACUUGGUGUGAAUUGCAGAAUCCCGUGAACCAUCGAGUCUUUGAACGCAAGUUGCGCCCGAAGCCUUCUGGCCGAGGGCACGUCUGCCUGGGCGUCACGCA